AUGAAUCCACCCUGCUUUCACUGUGUCAGUGCAAUGGGGGCCAAGGUGCUGUUGCCCCAGGCUAUCUGGGGAGGACUGCAAGAAACCCACACUCCUGCCAGCCAAUCAAGACAUCCAAUUGGUCUCUCUCUGGGUUGGGACAUAAGAAAUUCCUGGAUUAAGUGGUGGGGGUAGACAGACCCUUCCAUUCUUAAGGGAAAUGGGUAAUUUUGCCUCCCCUUUUAUCCUAAUGUGGAUUAUCACACCCUCAUGUGCUGCAGCCAAGAUAUUGGUUGGUUGUGUGAGCUUUAUGAAGUUCUUGCAUUACUUACUACAUGUUUAGCUAACAUGUUACAGUUUUCCUUCUGAGACUGCCAGUUAUUGGACUGUGACUGCACUAGCCCUGUUUUUAUGAGGACGGAGUGUUUGAUGUGUUCAGCCUAAGCCAGUUGGCCAGACCUUGGGAGGUCAAAUGGACAAUUUGGUCUAAAAACUGGUUGAGGGGCUAGAGCUCUCCUGACUAUCACCUGGAACAAUGAAGAGCCUGUGAUUGAGGAAUCAGCUGCGGUCAUCCUUUGCUGCAAGAACUAUUCUCUCUUUUCCUGGGUUGAAUGAUUAUUGUUGUAUAUUCAGUAAUCUCUGUGUGUCAUUCCUAAAAACUCACCUCUGCCCUCUAUAGGAAAUUUAGUUGAUAUGUAUAACAACAUCCCUUUCAUUGUUCUCCUUUCCUGAUUUAUACCUGUCUUGUUGCCCUUUGACCAUGAGCUUCUUGGGAAUGAGACUGAACCUUUUCUGCUUGUCUGAAUGCACCUAACAGAUCAUAGACAUUACUCCAAAUAACUAAUAAUAAUGGCUUAAAUUAAAAUUUGAGCACGAUUCUUACAGCAUUCUCAGCAACUGAUGCUUGACUACCAGUUAGUGAAAUUGUAGAAAUAGUAAGGAAGGGCCCUGUUAUAUUUCUGGUUGUUACCUAGUAAUUACCUAUCAGUGCAAACAAAGUGUAGCUUACAAAAGCAAUGAUCAAAUUAGCACUGAAAAGUAAAAUGGCAAAUUAUGCAAACUCUGAAGCUGUCAUUAAACUUGUCAUAAUGGGAAAGGAAGUAUGGAUGAUAUAAAAAAUGGUAAAAAACAUGGUGGUUGCUAAAAGAUGGCUUUGUUUUUAAACCAGUUCGGAUUCUCUUGUUUUUCUUAUUUG
rnacentral:lncRNA from 1 species